CUUUCCAAUAGGGGUGGCACAUUUCUCCUCCAUCUCUUUGACUAUUUCAAUUGCUCUGGCCCAUCUACCAUCCUUCCCCAUUUUUCGAUUGACGCCGAUCGCUGCCGUAACAGUCCCAGCCACAGCGGCGGCACACACCACAGCCAAGACCACCUUCUUCUCCAUUGUGGAAAAAAAAAAAAAUUGAAAUGAAACCCAGAACCCCACACCCAGAGAUCUUUGAAGAAAGAAGGUUGUUUGUUAUAAUUAGAUUUGUAUAUGGAGAUUUUGAUAGCGUGAGACAGAAAGGAGAGUUUGUUCUUAUGAAAAAGAGUUAUGCAAAGAUUUGGUGGAAGUGAAAUAGUGAAUAGUUUGAAUCUUGGUUAGCGUUUUUAAGUUGUUUUUACAACAUCCUUUGGGAAGUGUGAUCCAAAAAUAUGGUUCCUUGAUCCUCUUCCUAUGUGUUGUUUGGCCGUGUUAAAGAGAAAACAGAGCGUGCAGCUUACUUAAUUUCCUCCCCAACAUUUUUCUUAUUUUAACAUUCAAAAAUGGAUUUUUUUUUUUAAGAUGAAUAUUUGGUAAAUUAUUGAGCCUUUAACAAAGAACAGAUUGCUCAAGACUAAUCUUGAUCACAAUACAUGAUCCAUGCGCACCUAACAGAUAAUAAGAGAGUUGGGCUGCAGAUAGAAGACAUCAAGUUGACUGAAAUCAGAUGAGACUUCAAGAAUUGCCCCGAGCGCCAGAGCCUAAGAUUGAGUGCGACAAAUGAACAAACCACAUAAAAGCACGUCAUAUCAAAUUUACGGCACAUAGUUAGGAAAAGCAGGCGAAUCAUGUGCAAAGCCACUCUAUUUUCUACAAUAGAAGAGCCUCUUAGCAUCCAAAGGGACUUUGCCUUCCUCCUGUUCCAACCUUAUUUAAAUAUAAUUUUAAGGAUUAAUAUUUAUUUCAUAUUUUAACUUGCUUAAAUGAACAUUUCUCAUCAUGGAGGUUGCAAAUUGCAAUAUAUUGUAUACUAAAUUAGUUCCAACCCAGAAUCAAAAUAUAAAAUUUUCACACUUUCCAGAUGAAAUUCAAAAAAA
rnacentral:misc_RNA from 1 species